GAUGAACGCUGGCGGCGUGCUUAACACAUGCAAGUCGAACGGGAAACCUUUUAAUGAAGCUUCGGCAGAUUUAGCUGGUUUCUAGUGGCGACCGGGUGAUUAACUCGUUGGUAACCUGCCUUAUACAGGGGGAUAACAGUCAGAAAUGACUGCUAAUACCGCAUAAGCGCACAGGACCGCAUGGUCCGGUGUUGAAGACUCCGGUGGUAUAAGAGGGACCCGCGUUGGAUUAGCUUGUUGUUGGGGUAACGGCUCACCAAGGCGACGAUCCACAGCCGGGAUGUGAGGGUGAGCCGACACAUUGGGACUGAGACACGGCCCAGACUCCUACGGGAGGCAGCAGUGGGUAAUAUUGCACCAUGGCGGAAAUCAUGAUGCAGCGACGCCGCGUGAAGGAUGAAGUUUCUCGGUAUGUAAACUUCUAUUAGCAGGGAAGAUAGUGACGGUACCUGAUUAAGAAGCCCCGGCUAACUACGUG
rnacentral:rRNA from 1 species